GAUGAACGCUGGCGGCGUGCCUAAUACAUGCAAGUCGAGCGAACAGACGAGGCGCUUGCUCCUUCGACGUUAGCGGCGGACGGGUGAGUAACACGUAGGUAACCUACCUAUAAGACUGGGAUAACUUCGGGAAACCGGAGCUAAUACCGGAUAAUAUUUCGAACCGCAUGGUUCGAUAGUGAAAGAUGGCUUUGCUAUCACUUAUAGAUGGACCUGCGCUGUAUUAGCUAGUUGGUAAGGUAACGGCUUACCCAGGCAACGAUACGUAGCCGACCUGAGAGGGGGAUCGGCCACACUGGAACUGAGACACGGUCCAGACUCCUACGGGAGGCAGCAGUAGGGAAUCUUCCGCAAUGGGCGAAAGCCUUACGGAGCAACGCCGCGUGAGUGAUGAAGGUCUUCGGAUCGUAAAACUCUGUUAUUAGGGAAGAACAUACGUGUAAGUAACUGUGCACGUCUUGACGGUACCUAAUCAGAAAGCCACGGCUAACUACGUG
rnacentral:rRNA from 1 species